rnacentral:rRNA from 1 species
UACGUAGGUGGCAAGCGUUGUCCGGAUUUACUGGGCGUAAAGAGCGCGCAGGCGGUCGGAUAAGUCGAAUGUGAAAGCCCCCGGCUCAACUGGGGAGGGUCAUUCGAUACUGUUCGACUCGAAGGCAGGAGAGGGAAGUGGAAUUCCCGGUGUAGUGGUGAAAUGCGUAGAUAUCGGGAGGAACACCAGUGGCGAAGGUGACUUCCUGGCCUGUUCUUGACGCUGAGGCGCGAAAGCUAGGGGAGCAAACGGG